UUCUAUAAGCACUAGAGUUAAUUUAAAAAUAAUUACAUUGUUGUGAUUUAUGACGCAUUGUUACGAUAAGCGAUAUGUCAAACUCAAAUCAAAGUCCAGUAGUUAAUAACUAUUUUUAAUUUUUCUUAAUUAACGCGCAUUUAGAGUAAAACUAGUUAACUUUCUAAUUUAUCAUGAAAAAUAUGUUUUUUACUUGUUUUAUUGUUUUAUAUUUUUAUUUUAUAUCAGGAUGCAUUCGAUUGAGUCCUCAACAUAGGCCUCAAAUUGUUUUUGAAGUUGUCAAGCACAAUGGAGAAAAUGAUUUUGACAUGGGAGUUCAGUCGCAUAUGAACACUUAUGAGUAUAGUGACUCAGUUCAAAAUUUUAAUAAAACUUGAAAAUAUAUAUAUGCAAUACGUCAAAUUCAAAAUGAUAUCUUC